rnacentral:rRNA from 1 species
UACGGGGGGAGCAAACGUUGUUCGGAAUCACUGGGCGUAAAGGGCGUGUAGGCGGCUGGAUAAGUGGGAUGUUAAAUCCCCCGGCUCAACCGGGGACCUGCAUCUCAUACUGUUCAGCUCGAGCACAUCAGAGGAGACUGGAAUUCCCGGUGUAGCGGUGAAAUGCGUAGAUAUCAGGAGGAACACCGGUGGCGAAGGCGGGUCUCUGGGCCGAUACUGACGCUGAGGAGCGAAAGCGUGGGGAGCGAACAGG